GAUGAACGCUGGCGGCGUGCUUAACACAUGCAAGUCGAGCGAAGCACCUAAGAAAGAUUCUUCAGAUGAAUUCUUUUGUGACUGAGCGGCGGACGGGUGAGUAACGCGUGGGUAACCUGCCUCAUACAGGGGGAUAACAGUUAGAAAUGACUGCUAAUACCGCAUAAGACCACGGUAUCGCAUGGUACAGUGGUAAAAACUCCGGUGGUAUGAGAUGGACCCGCGUCUGAUUAGCUAGUUGGUGGGGUAACGGCCUACCAAGGCGACGAUCAGUAGCCGACCUGAGAGGGUGACCGGCCACAUUGGGACUGAGACACGGCCCAAACUCCUACGGGAGGCAGCAGUGGGGAAUAUUGCACAAUGGGGGAAACCCUGAUGCAGCGACGCCGCGUGAAGGAUGAAGUAUUUCGGUAUGUAAACUUCUAUCAGCAGGGAAGAA
rnacentral:rRNA from 1 species